CGCGGCCACCGAGCUGGCGCAGCCAAUGAUGCCCGAGGCGAGGGGGAGGGACCAUUGGAGCGCCGGGCAGAGCCAGACCCAAGCAAAAACAAAGCCGUCUCUCUGAAACAAAACCGAAACAGACGUGGCCAGGGAAAGGAAAAUAAAUCCUUGGCCAAAAGAGAUUUGACGACAAGAAAAGAAGACCGUCUCCAGACUGUCCCCGCUGGCACUAGCGGGACCCGGCCAGAAGUGCCUCGUGAGUGACAUUGAGGUCGGUGCUCAGUACUGUCACCCUCCAAACACCAUGGUGCAGAGAACGAGGCCCUCCGCAGUGGGACAGGCGCAGCGCCAAGGAAACCUUUUUCUCUCUAGUCCUUAUUGCUAACCAGGGAAAUAACGCCUCGACAUUUCUGCCUCGUAAUACUGCUUCCUGUACUCCACCCCAGAUUCGCUGCACCGCAGCCUCUCAGCCCCACCCCCACCGCCCACUGUGAGUCACCCCCUCUCUCCCUUCUCUAAACCAGAGUAUCGCAGAGCAAGGCCCUAUUGUGGUUACCCAUAAAUGCAAAGGCGCGGAGACACCAGUACCUCUAUGAGGAGCUGGCAUUUUAAUUAGCACACUCCAGCAGCUAUAAACCCCGACUGGUGUCCCACCUCUCCUCCCCCUCCCAGUGCCCUCCUCCAACCUCCCCACUCACCCCCAUCUAUGUAAAAAAAAAAAAAAGGCCAUAAAGCCUUUCUCCAAUCGCCUUCUUGGAGUUUAUGCAACCCCCAGAACACAGGUUGAUUGGAAAGGUCUCUCUCCUGGAUAACAACAAUUCAAUGUGCCUUGACAUUUUAAUAGCCUGCCGUCCUGGUGAACACAAUCGAGCAAGGCAGUGAAGCAAAAAUCAUUAGGUAAGCAAGAUAAUCUAAGCGGGAUCUGCCGCCUGCACGCUCACAUCUGGGGCAGGCUGCACAGCUGGGGCAGUCGGCAAAGCCCGCGGCCUCAUCCUGCUUUGCAGAACUCUGUUUGCUCCUACAUAGACACUUGUUCAGCUAGAGACCCGCACACCUGCAGACAGGUUUUGGGAGAUAAACACAGACAAGUACAGGCUCACUGAAGCACCACCCCCCCUAUAUGAAAUAGCUUGAGAGUAUGCAAAUUUACAAUGAAUCAAAAUACCCGCCACCUCUCCAAACUACCACCAAAUUAAACCCACUGCUCUCAAUUCAGGCUUUGCUGUAUCACUGAAAAUGAAGCAAAUAUUGGCUGGAAUUCCUAAUGUCAACUAUCUAUAAAGGCUGAUGUAUUUCCAUGCAUCUGUACAUGUUUAUGCAAAGAUUUUGAAUAUAAUACCAUGGAUAAAUAUAUAAUUUAAACAUAAAUAUGUAAUAUAAAACAUGUAUGCUGACUGUAUGGAAGGUAAUAUUAUAAAUGUUCCACAUCUAUUAUUAAGUCAUUUAAUCCUUGAACUGUAUGUUCUGUUAUCCCCAUUUCACAGAUGAGGCACACAUAGCUGAAACAACUUGUCCAAAGUCAUCCUCUAGUAAGUGGUGGAACCAGGAAUUUUGAUUCCAAACAGUCUGUCUCUAGAGUACAGGCUGUCAUCCUGUGCUAUGCUGUCUCACAGAAAGUAAAUCACACAAAUAAAUGAAACAUGUUACACGUCUUUCUGAGGUCG
rnacentral:lncRNA from 1 species